CGGGGCGUAGCUCAGCCUGGUUUAGAGUGCUUGACUGGGGGUCAAGAGGUCGCUGGUUCGAAUCCAGUCGCCCCGA
rnacentral:tRNA from 1 species